AAAAGAGCCGUGAUGUCUGAGGUGCUGAGUACAGUGGAACUCUGAUUUCUCACUGCUAAUUCACUGCAUCAUAUCGGGGCAGACGGGUUGUCUUCCACAUUAACAAUGUUUCCGUGCUGUUGUUGUAGUAGAGACAACAGUGUUAUUUACAAAGCAGAGGUGUUCACUGGAGAAAUGCUGUACGCCGGCACAACGAACAGUAUCUAUAUACAUCUCCGUGGCACAAUGGAUUCAAGCCAUCGCAUCUGCCUCCCCAAAAGUAGAUUCAUUGGGGGCCACCGCCGAGGGGCUGUGAUUGAGCUUGAUGUGUUCUGUCCUUCCUCCCUGGGCCAUCUGGAGUUUGUGGUGCUGGAAUCAGAGCCGUACCUCCCAUUCUGCUUCCUCAACAAUGACUGGUUCUGCUCUAAAGUAGUGGUGACCACACCAGAGGGAGACACAGUCAACUUCCCCUGUUACCACUGGAUCUCAGGCAAUGAACGGCUGAUGU